GACGAACGCUGGCGGCGUGCUUAACACAUGCAAGUCGAACGGAAAGGCCCUGCUUUUGUGGGGUGCUCGAGUGGCGAACGGGUGAGUAACACGUGAGUAACCUGCCCUGACUUUGGGAUAACUUCAGGAAACUGGGGCUAAUACCGGAUAGGAGCUCCUGCUGCCUGGUGGGGGUUGGAAAGUUUCGGCGGUUGGGGAUGGACUCGCGGCUUAUCAGCUUGUUGGUGGGGUAGUGGCUUACAAAGGCUUUGACGGGUAGCCGGCCUGAGAGGGUGACCGGCCACAUUGGGACUGAGAUACGGCCCAGACUCCUACGGGAGGCAGCAGUGGGGAAUAUUGCACAAUGGGCGGAAGCCUGAUGCAGCAACGCCGCGUGCGGGAUGACGGCCUUCGGGUUGUAAACCGCUUUCGCCUGUGACGAAGCGUGAGUGACGGUAAUGGGUAAAGAAGCACCGGCUAACUACGUG
rnacentral:rRNA from 1 species